rnacentral:rRNA from 1 species
CAAUGGACGAAAGUCUGACCGAGCAACGCCGCGUGAGUGAAGAAGGUUUUCGGAUCGUAAAGCUCUGUUGUAAGUCAAGAACGUGUGUGAGAGUGGAAAGUUCACACAGUGACGGUAGCUUACCAGAAAGGGACGGCUAACUACGUGCCAGCAGCCGCGGUAAUACGUAGGUCCCGAGCGUUGUCCGGAUUUAUUGGGCGUAAAGGGAGCGCAGGCGGUCAGGAAAGUCUGGAGUAAAAGGCUAUGGCUCAACCAUAGUGUGCUCUGGAAACUGUCUGACUUGAGUGCAGAAGGGGAGAGUGGAAUUCCAUGUGUAGCGGUGGAAUGCGUAGAUAUAUGGAGGAACACCAGUGGCGAAAGCGGCUCUCUGGUCUGUCACUGACGCUGAGGCUCGAAAGCGUGGGUAGCGAACAGGAUUAGAUACCCUGGUAGUCCACGCCGUAAACGAUGAGUGCUAGGUGUUAGGCCCUUUCCGGGGCUUAGUGCCGGAGCUAACGCAAUAGGCACUCCGCCUGGGGAGUACGACCGCAAGGUUGAAACUCAAAGGAAUUGACGGGGGCCCGCACAACGGUGGAGCAUGUGGUUUAAUUCGAAGCAACGCGAAGAACCU